rnacentral:lncRNA from 1 species
GGAGAAUAAUCAAAAUGAGCAACAGCGAUAAAUGGAGCAAAACAUGGGAUCUAACUUCAUCCUCAAGAAAUAACACAAAUAAAAACUUUCUAAACUCUUUAACUUCAAAUAAAAACAUUCAAAACUGUUCAACAUCAAAUAAAAACAGCAGCAACAUUCCAUGGAAAGACAACAUGACAGAUCCACUCUCAAACUCAUCUUCAAAAUUUGCAUGUAAAUCUAGCAAAAAGUAACACAAUCUCAUCAUGGAACACUCAAAACAGUGGUUUAGAAUACUCAGCAUUCCUACAGAAUGUAUUUAUUUAUGUUUUACUUUUUGGUAUACAUACAUACAUGAAAUUAA